AACGAACGCUGGCGGCAUGCCUAACACAUGCAAGUCGAACGAGACGUCCGGGUCUUGGGGCGCACGGCUGCGUAACGCGUGGGAAGCUGCCCUUAGGUUCGGAAUAACUCCCCGAAAGGGGUGCUAAUACCAGAUAAUGUCUUCGGACCAAAGAUUUAUCGCUUUUGGAUGGGCCCGCGUUGGAUUAGCUAGUUGGGAGGGUAAAAGCCUGCCAAGGCGAGGAUGCAUAGCUGGUCGGGGAGAAUGAUCAGCCACGCUUGGACUAAGCCCCGGCCCAGAAUCCUACGGGAGGGAGCAGUGGGGAAUAUUGGACAACGGGCGAAGGCCUGAUCCAGCAAUGCCGGGUAAGUGAUGAAGGCCGUAGGGUUGUAAAGCUCUUUUACCCGGGAUGAUAGUGACGGUACCGGGUGAAUAAGCUCCGACUAACUCCGUG
rnacentral:rRNA from 1 species